CAAAGUGCUAGGACUACAGGUGUGAGCCGGGCAGGAGAGUAACUUCACUUUGGUUUCCUCCUGCCUUAAAUGGGCAUACCACCUGGCAUUAGGAUUAAUGUGCGUAAAGUACUUAGAACUCAGCCCAGGUGAGUUCUCCUUAACUCAGCCUAGAAGAGAUCAUCCGCCCGAGGGUGAGGGGGCUAGAGCCGCCCUGUGAAUUGGGAAAGGAGGCCCCUUUUCAGCCUUGCCAGGUAUCCUGGACCCCACCCAACCCACUCACUCACCCACCCAACCCCAGCAAGUGGGGAGAGGGAGAGCAGUCCAGGUCUCCUUAUCUGUCUGGGCUGUUUAGGAGUGAGACCACACAAGGCAGGCAGUUCUCAGAGAAUUCCCCUCCAAGGCCUGCUGGCUCUUUCUUGGCACUUUGCUCUGCAGAUUUCUUUCCGUAAGUGCUUAUUUCUCACAGUCUUUCUCCUUUUUGUCCAGUUUCUUUUUCUUUUUAAUUUUUUUAAAUAGUAUUUUUUGUAGACAUGGGAUCUCACUGUUGCCCAGGCUGAUCUUGAACUCCUGAUCUCAGGUAAUCCACCUGCCUCAUCCUCUGAAAGUACUGGGAUUGGCCGGGCUUGGUGGCUCACACCUGUAAUUCCAGCUCUUUGGGAGGCGGAGGUGGGAGGAUCGCUUGAGCCCCGGAGCUGGAGAUUAGCCUGGGCAACAUAGGGAAACCCCGUCUUUCAAAAAAAAAAAAAAAGAAGAAGAAAAAGGAAAGAAAAACACAAAAAGUGCUGGGAUCACAGGUGUGAGCCACUGCGCUCAGCCCCUUUCUGUUUCUUUUUGUGAUCCUCCCAACCCUCUUCUCCCUCUGAAUCUGUCUCUGGGACUGUCUCUGUCUCCCCGUCUUCCCUCCCUUCCUCACCCUGUCUAUCUCUCUCUGUAUGUCUCUUGGUGUGUGUGUCUCUCUCGAUGUUUUUCUCUCUGCCUGUCUGCCUGUCUGUACCCCUCUGCGUCUCUCCCCGCCCCCAUCCGUCUGUGUCGCACGCGCACCCCCAUCGGGCUUCUGCUCUUGUCAAUUGCCCCUGGGGCCCUGCCCCCACCUCCGCCCCAGUUUCCUUCUACAAGCCUCAGUCUCCAGCUUUGAAAACUGGGCAGGCGUCCCCCCAUCCGCACCCCCACCCCUUCCCCACGC
rnacentral:lncRNA from 10 species